CUUGUACAUAUACAUAAGUUAAUUGUUUCCUUUCUUUUCUCUCACACAAACAAACCCUAGCUCACAUUACACCAAACUCAUUGCUUUAAUUCAUUGCAACAACCAGAUUGCAUCGUUGUAUUUCUCUGAUUUCCCAAAGAUUUGUGAGACUCAAUUCAUACUCAUCAUGAGAUUCAAACCAGGGAGCAAGGUGGAGGUGCUGAAGGAAGUGGAUUCAUUGACUGCAUGGUGUGGCGGGGAAAUUAUCUCUGGUAAAGGGCAUAGUUACACUGUCAGAUAUGAUCAUUAUGUCCCGGAGCAUGGGGAAGCUACUGAUAGGGUACAUGAAGAGCUUGUCAGACCUCCUCCUCCUGUACAAAGAGUGGAUAGUUGGGUGUCUGAUGAUGUUGUGGAAGUUUUUGAUGAUGUUAUGUGGAGAACCGCCAUCAUAUCAUCCGCGUGUGGAUCUUAUUGUAAUGUUCGGCUACUUGGAUCAUCUUACAAGUUCGGAGUACACAUAUCAAAUAUCCGGCUUAGACAGUCUUGGAAAAAUGAUAAAUGGCUUUUGAUGGGCAAGGGAUGGGCGAAUUCUGGAGAGUUGGAAUUAAGUCAACUGUCGACUUCAGAUUGUUAUCAGAAGAUGACCUACCAGGCAGCACAAACUAAUGCAGCAGUCAAAAAGCAACGAAAAUUCAACCUAUCAGCAGCAGCACAAAACAGCGGGGCACGGGAUUCUCAUAUUGCAUAUUCUAGAACACUGAAGAGAGCAUCUCCUUAUUGUUCAUCUCUUAUUCAGGCAAAUAGUGGAAAUCUUAAGAAAUUCAGAACUGCUGAAAAAGAAGACCGAAGGCAUCCAGUGCUCCCUGUUAAUGUGAAUCAGGUAGAUGCUGUAGCUUACCCAAGAAAAAAUCUGGGUGAAACGUACAUGCGUGCUUCCUUUAACAAUAUAACAAAUGGACAUAAUGAAUUGGAUAGAGGAGAACUAAAUGAUGUCAUUGCCUGUUCAGCUGCAAGGGACUCCGAGAGUAAUGAUUCUGAUAGCGAUAUAUCUUCUGUUGGUAGUUGUAGUGCUAUUUCUAGAACUCUAAAUAAGUUUUCCACCCAUAAGCUAGCAGUUUCAUAUCAAGAGACAAAUAGCCUUUCUAGCGAUGCAGAAUCUUGUUGCAGCGGUGCGAGGGACAAGGAAAGUUGUGACGUUCCUCCAGAAGAGGUUAUAGCAGAAAGGCAAAAGAUCUGGUGGCUUGCAAAUUUUGCUUCCGGUCUUUCACAAUGAUGCUGGGGUAUGCAAAACUAUAUUUGCAUAACUAACCGGGGCAUCUACUAUCUUCAGAUUGGAAACUAUAGCCAUCUGGUGACAGUGUGACACCUAUUAUUGUUCUUGAUGUUAUUUCAUGUCAAGGCAGCUCAAUCUGUGUCAACAUGCACACUGCUGAAAUCUGGGAUAUUGUAGUUGUAAUAAUAUUAUGAGAUUCUGGCGAGGGCAAGGGCGAGCAAAGUGGAGGUGCUGAUUGCAUGGUGUAUUGUCUGAAUUUGUUUUAGUACUGAAUGUUCAGAGAUACCAUCCUCAAAAAUGAGGUAUGUCAUGUGACAGAGUGCGAGUAGAUCUGCUUAUCAAAACCUUCGCCUGCACAGAGUAUAGAGUGAGGAGUUGCAUGGCUGGUGUUGUGUAAGUGUUUGAAAUGGUGCUAAGUUAAUGGAGAUUAUGGUUGUUCUGCUUCACUUAUUUUACAAAUAUAUGAGGCUACAGUGGUAUCAUGUUUAGAGAAUAUCGGAAUGCGAUAAAUGGUUAAAGAAGAUGGGAGGGUCAUGAGUUCCAAAUUUUUAAGGGACCUCUGAGAAGCGGGACCUUGAGUGCAUUCUGUGGUCUGAAGAUUAGCUUCUAGUAUGGACAAAGACAGCUAUCAAAGUCCAAGCUCUUUUCUAGCAAUUACAGAAAGUACUACUUGAAGGCCAGGUGGUUCAGAAAGAAGAAUUUAGGCAUUGAUUACUUGACAAUUGAAAUGAUAAAAAGAUAAAUGGCUGAUUUUUGUAACAAUGGAACCAUGAAAAGUAAUGAGUUUGCUGAGAGGAAACCUUAUGCUUUCAUUGCUUGGUUGGGUUCACAAUAACAUUGGAACUACUGAUUCUUGUAAAAGUGCUGCAUGCGGACUAAUGCUACUUUUCAAAGUCUAGAUGAUGGCAUAUUCCUCUUUUGGCGGUGAUGAAUCUUAAAUGGGGGUUGGGGGAAGAUAAUAGUUCCAAAUUGUAGACAUUGCUUGGACUUGCAUGCUUUCUCAUGCAAUCUAGCAGUACCGGGGAAAAGGAUUAUUGUCAAGUGAUAAGUCUGUGUAUUACUCUGGCAUUUCAAGCUAUGAGAUUCCGGAAAGCAUUUCAUUCAAUUCAUUUCUAGCAACUGCCUUAUUACUGGGGUUGACACUCAUUCAAUUUAAUUAAAGUCUAUUUUGGAUUGUAUUGUAUAUAUGAUGUAUGAUCUCUUUAUGAAGGUAGCAGCAUCUACCAGUUUUAUCAUUUUUUUUCUUUAAA